GUGCCAGCAGCCGCGGUAAGACGAAGGGGGCUAGCGUUGUUCGGAAUUACUGGGCGUAAAGCGCGUGUAGGCGGUUGUUCAAGUCAGGUGUGAAAGCCUUGAGCUCAACUCAAGAAAUGCACUUGAUACUGAAUGACUAGAGGACCGGAGAGGAUAGUGGAAUUCCCAGUGUAGUGGUGAAAUACGUAGAGAUUGGGAAGAACACCAGUGGCGAAGGCGGCUAUCUGGACGGUUACUGACGCUAAGACGCGAAAGCGUGGGGAGCAAACAGGAUUAGAUACCCUGGUAGUCC
rnacentral:rRNA from 1 species